CACAUGGUACCAAAUUACUGUAGCAGAGAUUGGGAAACCUCUGUUUAGCAGGUCUGGUUUAUGGUUAUGCUAAAAAUAGAGGUGAAAUGUGUAACUCAUUUCAAGAACAAUUUCUUCGCUGAGAUCACAGGAUCAUUUGAAGCUGUCCAAACACUUAAGGACAAAUAAAGAAAAGAUAGAUCUUAUGCACUUUGGAGGAUUACAUUUAGGUCCAUUUGCGUUGCUGGAAGAGAGCUCUGUACACCUAGUAAAGAAACGCAAACAUCCUUACCAUCAAGAAGGCAAGGCGGGGCAGUACUGAAGGGAUUAUUCUAGCAACUCCUGAAAUGCAAAACCUUCAGUGGCAAGAGAGAAGAGGCAGUCUUAUGACUACAGCUCUGACCUGAAGGACAUGCUCUCUCCAAGUAUGACUUCAUUCAAGUAGUAAGACCAAGAACUGCAUUGAAAAACAGGAAGAUUGGCCGUAGGCAGACAGGUGAGCUCAUUUUCUUCUCUCUUUUCCUCCUGGCUUUGUGAUCAUACUACAUGUGUAAUCAGACUGUCUGCCUCCCUC
rnacentral:lncRNA from 1 species